rnacentral:rRNA from 1 species
AGUCGAGUUGUUUGGGAAUGCAGCUCUAAAUGGGAGGUAAAUUUCUUCUAAAGCUAAAUACCGGCGAGAGACCGAUAGCGCACAAGUAGAGUGAUCGAAAGAUGAAAAGCACUUUGGAAAGAGAGUUAAAAAGCACGUGAAAUUGUUGAAAGGGAAGCGCUUGCAAUCAGACUUGUUUAAACUGUUCGGCCGGUCUUCUGACCGGUUUACUCAGUUUGGACAGGCCAGCAUCAGUUUCGGCGGCCGGAUAAAGGCCCUAGGAAUGUGACCCCCUCUUCGGAGGGGGUGUUAUAGCCUGGGGUGUAAUACGGCCAGCCGGGACUGAGGUCCGCGCUUCGGCUAGGAUGCUGGCGUAAUGGUUGUAAGCGACCCGUCUUGAAACACGGACCAAGGAGUCUAACAUCUAUGCGAGUGUUCGGGUGUCAAACCCCUGCGCGUAAUGAAAGUGAACGGAGGUGUGAACCGCAAGGUGCAACAUCGACCGAUCCUGAUGUCUUCGGAUGGAUUUGAGUAAGAGCAUA